GAGAAGAUAGGCAAGCCUGCCACACUAGGGAGCGAGAGGUGUUUCUCAGCAACUGUCAGAAGCUCCUGAAAAAGUGCUCUUCCUUACUCCUUCAACCAAAUUCCUGUCUGGUUCAAGAAAUCGAGGGGUUUCAGAGAUGAGAAGAGCCGUUGUGAUGGAACAAGCCUUUUGUGCUCAUCCUUCAAAUUCCUGAGUACCUUACACAUAAGGAAGGUGAGAUUGAGGCCUAUCCAAGGUGGGAUAUGGGAGUCAAUCUCCAAGUAAUCGGAUUCAUUUUUUCUGCUGUGUGUCUGCUACCCCUGAAACUUUCUCUCAGCCCCUCCCCUAUGUUGUGCUUCACUUGCUGUACCUGGCUUCCUAGAAUCACAGACCUGCUGAAGAAUGUCUUACAUUCAAAGCUUGUCUUACUGUAUCCCAACUACAUGGCUGAACCAAUAAAAGA